rnacentral:rRNA from 1 species
GACGAACCGUGCGAACGUUGUUCGGAAUCACUGGGCUUAAAGGGCGCGUAGGCGGGUUGCCAAGUCCGGGGUGAAAGCCCCCCAGCUCAACUGGGGAAGUGCCUUGGAUACUGGUGAUCUCGAGGGAGGUAGGGGCAUGCGGAACUUCCGGUGGAGCGGUGAAAUGCGUAGAUAUCGGAAGGAACGCCGGUGGCGAAAGCGGCGUGCUGGACCUCUUCUGACGCUGAGGCGCGAAAGCUAGGGGGAGCAAACGGG